rnacentral:lncRNA from 1 species
GGUAAUUUGUAUUAUUGAUUUGUAUUCAUCUCUAAGAUGUGCCUCUCACUGUGAAGUUCCAUGGAUAAAGAUUUGGCUUCAGUUUCUGUCUGGAAACCUGGCACCAUUUACUUACAAAUUAAAAAUACAAGUGAAUCAUUUACAUAUCUCCUAGAAACCAAAGAGUUUGUAUGUUAUACCUCAAGUAAUUUGGAUAAUGCCGUGGGUUGUGUUUUUUUCUUUUUUUAAAUUCUAAUUAAGCCGUCCAUCACUUCAAGGUGAUAAUUUUCUCAAGUAUGCUCUUCUUAAAACGAUUGCAUUUUAUUUAGUAUCUUACAGCGUGAAGAAUUUUGACUCCUAGGGAAAAUCUCAUGUAAGUGAUCAUCUGUUAUCUUGAGGGGAGGAGGAUGGGGAGGAGUCUUUUCUGAUCCUCUUCUUUUGAAAGCUAUCACCCUCCCACUCUAUGGGAUUUAGGUGGGUCUGUCAGAUACAUGGGUUUAAAUCCAGAACCUGCUUGAUUCCCAACUUCUGUAUCCUUUCUCUCCCCACAGAUACCAACCAUCUGGCCCUAAAACAAAUCUCAUCAGUUUAUGAACCAGGCAGCCCAAUCACAGUGCCUAAUUCUCCCUAUCACACAAUUGGUCAAGGAGGGAGCAAGUGACAUAAUCUAAAUUCUUUCCAAAGAUGGAUGCAAAUGCUGGGAAAGCAAGAGUUGAAUUGCUAGCCAUGAGGAAAACGUAAGCCUGAGCUGUUUGCUGGCCAUCUUUGCUUCCACAUGGGGAUGGCCUGCCUGGAAAUGAAGCCACACAGAGAAAACAGAAGAGCAGUGAAGAGAAGGGUAAAAGGAGAGAUCCCAUGACAUGAUUUGCACUCUUAGAUCCAGUUAUGCCUGAUGCAGGACCCACCCCUUGGACUUCCCAUUUCCAGGAGCUAAAACUAGACUGAGUUGAGUUUCUGUCACUGACAGUUGACAGAAAAUAUCAACAAUCCAGCCACAUGGAGCCUCAUGGCAGUACCACUAACCCUGGUCACCACAUGAAUACUGACCAGAGGCAUUUCACCUGAAUCAACUGUUUGUGUUCUUAACUCCAUCUCCUCAUCUGCUUCCUGGAAGACCCAACUGACAUAGAUGGUUACAAGAAAUGAUUUCCUCCUUAUAAAACUCUAGCUUCUUGUAUAGAAGAUACCUAAAAAGUGUUUGCUGAAUGAAGAAAUAAAGGAUUGCUCAGGCACCACUGGCACUUUAAGUUGUUCAGCAAGUACUCGUGCCUCUUAAGAACUGGCCAAGGGCCGGGCGUGGUGGUUCAUGCCUGUAAUCCCAGCAUUUUGGGACGCCGAGGCGGGCAGAUCACGAAGUCAGGAGUUCGAGACCAGCGUGGCCAACGUGGUGAAACCCCAUCUCUACUAAAAAUACAAAAACUUAGCCGGGUGUGGUGGCCUGCGCCUGUAGUCCCAGCUACUCGGGAGGCUGAGGCACAAGAAUUGCUUGAACCCACGAGGAGGAGCUUGCAGUAAGCCGAGAUCGCGCCAUUGCACUCCAGCCUGGGCAACAGGGCAAGACUCUGUCCUGAAAGAAAAAAAAAAAAAAAAAAAAAAAGAACUGGCCGAGGUCUUAGCUGGAGCACUCUCUCUACCCUGCAUGUUUGACUGCAUUUCUGUCCAUUUUCAAUCCGUUUUGGUUAUACGUUUUUUCACACAGGUCUGUUGAACUUAGAACACCGAAGGCCUGUGUAUUUUCAUGGCUCACAGCUCAUGUUGUGUUGACCUGCCCCACUGUGGUUAAUGUUUAGCCCCUAAACCACCAGCUGAAUGUCCUUAAAUCUGAAAGAAUAAUGAACACACGCCAACAGAUAGCUUAGGUUUAUUUGGUGACUUGCGCCACAUACUUUGCGAAUAUCAUCUCAGUCAUCCUUUUAGCAUCUCUCUCAGGCACAUACUCUCCUCUGUGGUGGCUCAUGCCGGUAAUCCCAGCCCUUUGGGAGGCCGAGGCGGGCAGAUCACUUGAGGCAAGGAGUUCGAGACCAGCCUGGCCAACACGGUGAAACCCCAUCUCUACUAAAAAUACAAAAAUUAGCCGGCUAUGGUGGCAUGCGCCUGUAAUCCCAGCUGCUCGAGAGGCUGAGGCAGGAGAAUCAUUUGAACCCAGGAGGCAGAGGUUGCAGUGAGCCUAGACUGCACCAUUGCACUUCAGCCUGGGUGAGACCCCAUCUCAAAUCAAUCAAUCAAUCAAUCAAUCAAUCAAUCAAUAAGGGAAAAGCUAUCACACAGCAGAAUACAGUCCAAGGGUAACUACUGAAGGGCCAGAUCAAGGAGCAAAGUCUAUCAUGUAUCAACCUUUACAGUGUCCCCAAGGGUCAGCUGUGUAUAGGGGCCCACACAGAAUUUGGAAUCCAAAUACAUCUCUGGAUCCCCAGGCCUGUGUUUGACUCGCCAGGUAGUAAUGAGAUGUCUCCAUUUUCUGCAGGCUGAAUGAUUCCCUCAGAGCAGAAGUAUAAGCAUAUUUAUUGUUUUUCCUUCUAUCAUAAACAGUUAUUAGUUGUGGCCCUUUCUCCCUUCCAAAUAGGUGCCCAAAUUUCUGGAAGUGGAAAGGGCCCAACUUUCCCAUAUCAGGGGGUGGGCCCCACUGGGCGUGAGCCAAUCAGUGUCUUCUGUCCUGUGAGCUCCCGAUUUAUGCUGGUCUAUAACCUGAGAUGGCCUUCUCAGGAUGGACCUCCAGGGAUUGCUGGAACUUGGACUCUUGUCAGCCUGGUAAAUGGUAUGUCUUAGAUCUGCUGCAGCCGUCGUGGAAAACUUGAAGCUGCCAGGAGAGAGGGGUUCCAACAUGUGGUGGCUAAAGAAUGAAUCCAACUCAAAGGAAGCAGAGCCAAGAAAUGGAUCCAUGCUGUUUGAAUCUUGGAUCAAAUUGUGCCUGGAUCUCCAGUGAGACAAUAAAUUCCUGUAUUACUCAAGCCUAUUUGAGAUUGUUUUCUUUCACUUGAAACAUUAAACUUUUAAAUUGAUACACCCUAGUUAAAUUAUAAACUGUGUGACA